CAGCGCCACGAGUGGCAAUCGUGUAUUUGGCCUAAAGCGUCCGUAGCCGGAUUUGUAAAUCUGUUGUGAAAUCGUUGAGCUCAACUUAACGGCGUGCAGAAGACACUGCGAGUCUUGAGACCGGGAGGAGAUAGAGGUAUUCUAGGGGGAGCGGUAAAAUGCUAUAAUCCCUGGAGGACCACCAGUGGCGAAGGCGUCUAUCCAGAACGGAUCUGACGGUGAGGGACGAAAGCCAGGGGAGCGAACCGGAUUAGAUACCCGAGUAGUCC
rnacentral:rRNA from 1 species